rnacentral:snRNA from 1 species
GGAUAUGAGAGAGAUCUGGCUGUGACAUCUGUCACCCCACUGACUGCCAGGGUUGAUUUAGUCGAUCUGCCUGGCUAGGUGGGUGUCCCCUUCCUCCCUUACCAUUCCACAUGUGUCCUUCCCAAAGUUGCACGCUCAGUCAAAGAGGACAACUAGCCCUAAUAGAGGACCAUUUCUUUGGUCAAGGGUACAUGAGUAGAUGUGAUGCCCUGCUUGAACCUCCAAACAAGCUGUCAAAUAAACAACCUAAUGUUGAAUAUCAAGCUUCUAGAAAAAGAAAAGCAAGUCAAUCCUAAAGCUCAUUU